rnacentral:rRNA from 1 species
UAUUGGACAAUGGGCGAAAGCCUGAUCCAGCCAUGCCGCGUGGGUGAUGAAGGCCCUAGGGUUGUAAAGCCCUUUCGGCGGGGAAGAUAAUGACGGUACCCGCAGAAGAAGCCCCGGCCAACUUCGUGCCAGCAGCCGCGGUAAUACGAAGGGGGCUAGCGUUGCUCGGAAUUACUGGGCGUAAAGGGCGCGUAGGCGGGUUGCUAAGUCAGGGGUGAAAUCCUGGAGCUUAACUCCAGAACUGCCUCUGAUACUGGUGACCUCGAGUCCGGGAGAGGUGAGUGGAACUCCGAGUGUAGAGGUGAAAUUCGUAGAUAUUCGGAAGAACACCAGUGGCGAAGGCGGCUCACUGGCCCGGUACUGACGCUGAGGCGCGAAA